CACGUGUCCCAGCCCCGAGGAGGGCGAGGGUGCGGAUUUGUGGGGCUGGGCAGAGCCGGGCUCUCUGCAGGAGCCAUCCCUGCCUGCCUGCAGCGCAGGAAAUCGGGCAAAGCUGCAGCCGCUUUUCCCUCCCUCGGCCUCGCUCCCCUCACCGGCACCGUGCACAGUGAGUCUGUGACACCGAAAGGCUCAAUUCCACCGGUUUGGUGACAUCUGGAGCUUCCCAGGGUCCACCAAACCCUGCCCUCCCUGUAGCUUUGGCCCCCAGUCCCAGUAAGAAAUAUCUGAGGGGACUUGGGGAUCUGGGACAAAACAUCCCCAGGCUGAGGUGGCACAACCCUGGGCUCACCCCUGCAGACAAAGGAGCACCGCGGGCCUGUCCUGCUGCUCGGAGCUCCUGCAUGAACAAUUCCCAUCACUCUGGAGCUCAGCGUUCUGCAGCUCCGUGGCCCCUGCAGCCCGCACAGGUGGCCAGCUCCAGGUGGCCAUGGGCAAGUGGUCGCUGCAGGAUUCCCUCCUCUCACUGAGCCCGGAGCAAAGCUCAGCUCCACAUCACUGCUCGAGGCAUUUUUGCCUCGUUCUCUUUGCAGGCUGACCCGGGAGUGUUCCCGGCCGCUGCCCUUCCCCGUGUCCUGCGGAGAGCUCCAAGUUCCUGCGGGCUGGGCCUCACGGAGCGUUGCCAUCAUUCCAUCCCUCCUCAUCCUCCCCUGCCUCCCUGGAUUUUCCCCUGCCCGGCUGGGCUGCGCUUUGCCAAAGGUGCGGCCGCAUCCCACACGGAGCUUUCUCCGCGUGUCCCGGGGCCGGGGGAGGGUGACAGCGGAGGGGACAGCCCAGCCCGGCUGUCUCCUGACCGGAAAGUCACCGAGCAUCGCAAAACGCUGAGCGUGGCACGGAGCCUGGGGCGGGCUCGGGCUGCUGCAGCCCGCGGCCUUUGCAGCGCAGGCUGGGCUGGAGCUGCUGCCGCGCUCAGCAAUUCCUCCCUGCUCAGCCACACGUGCAGAGCGCCGAGGAAAACUCAUCCCACCGCGGGGUGGGCUGGGCUCCGGCUGUUUAAUUAUUCCCAGCUCAUUAACAGGUGAGCUGGAAGCCGCAGGCAGCAGAGAUAAGGAGGUUCCCGAGGGAAAGGCAGGAUUAUGCACUUGACCCUCGGCGGGGUGAGCUGGCUCCAGCCCGCUCCAGGGUACAGCGAGCUCUUGGAUUGGCACUUCUGGGAAUCCGCCUGGAACUGCUCCUGGGCUUUGCUAGGCUUGGCUGCCUCCCUCACUGGGAGAGCUGUGUCAGCAGGGCUGCCGGGGAGCUCUCCGUGCCCUGAUUGAAAAAGAAGAAAAGCAAACCAAACAAAUGGAGUGAAUCACAGGCACCUCCUGUUGCAAGAGCACGACACAAAAACAACAGGCAGGGCACGACUGAUGGAAGUUGUGGCUGGAAAAAGGAGCCAGAUGCAAAUUCCUGACCAAACUCCCAGCUCUGCACCAGCCAAUUUGGGGACAGAACUGCUGAAAACCGGCCUGGGAAGGUGUUCUGUGGGUGAUGCAGUCGGUGCCUUAAAUGGGACAGACUAAAUUUAGACCUGAGUGCUUGAGUACAAACUAAAUCUAAGCUUGAGCAUGGAAUAAAUCUAAGUCCAAGGUGCUUUUUAGGGAAAAUCUCGCACGCUAAAAAGGGCUGGGAGGUGAGCGAGGAGGGGAAAUGGGUUCCAGCCAGCUCCGUAGCUAUUCCAGGCUGCUCCAGAAAUAGGGCUGGUUCCUCCCGCUGGACACCCUUUUGCUGCCAGCCCCGGCCCCACCCGCGUGGCACGCCGUGGGAGCAGGAUGUGAAGGUGUAAUUGAGGUGUAGGGUGACACAGCCCUUAAUGACAGCUCAGCCUCUGUCACCUGUCCCCUCCCCGCCUUGGUUCGCUAGGUCAGGGCAGCGAUGAUUCCGCGUCUCGUUAUGCACUGGGGGCAAAUCUUCCCGUCUGGCAGGUGGGAGGGACGAGUUUCGGGAGUUUCCUUGAGGAAUUCGCGGCCGGUCCCAGGCAGACCCCCGCCCGCCCUCGCAGUGCCCUGGGAUCUCUCGGCGUUUUGGGAAGUCUGCUUUCACAUUCCUGCCCCCGGGGUUUUCCGAGGCUGGGGAAUGCGGAGCUGCAGUCGGGGUUGGACGUGAGGGGAAUGGGAAAUCCGUGUCCCGGGUCAGCGGGCACACAGAGAGUGCUGGGGAGGGCUCCAGGGCAUUCCCUGGCACAAACCCGGAAUGGCCCGGGGCUGGCAUCCACCUGGAGCGCAGGCCGGGUGUGGGAGGUGUCCAGCAGCAGGAGGGGGCUGGAAGGGCACGGUGGGGCCAUUCCUGAUCCCUCUGGGAAGGGCCAGGCUAUUCCUGAUCCCACUGGGAAGGGCACGGUGGGGCCAUUCCCAAUCCCACUGGGGUCCUUCCCGAUCCCACUGGGAAGGGUGUGGUUGGGCCAUUCCUGAUCCCACUGGGAAGGGCUUGGCAGGGCCACUCUUGAUCCCACUGGGAUCCUUCCUGACCCCACUGGGAAGGGCACAGUGGGGCCAUUUCCAGCCCCACUGGGAUCCUUCCCAAUCCCACUGGGAAGGGCACCAUGAGGCCAUUCCCAAUGCCUCUGGAAAGGGCACGGCAAGGCCAUUCCCAAUCCCAAUGGGAUCCAUCCUGAUCCCACUGGGAAGGGCACAAUAGGGCCAGUCUCAAUCUCACUGAGAUCCUUCCUGAUCCCACUGGGAAGGGUGUGGUUGGGCCAUUCUUGAUCCUACUGGGAUCCUUCCCAAUCCCAUUGGGAUGGGCAUGGUGGGGCCAUUCCUGACCCCACUGGGAUCCUUCCCAAUCCCACUGGGAAGGACAUGGUGAGGUCAUUCCUGACCCCACUGGGAAAGGCAUGGCAGGGUCAUUCCCAAUCCCACAGGGAAGGGCAUGGUUGGGCCAUUCCUGAUCCUGCUGGGAAGGGCCUCACCUGCAUUCCACAGGCAUAAAACCGCUGGAUCUCCCCACUCAGAUCUUCCCUGGGGGACACCAAGGUGGCCGUGCCCUGUGCCCACCCUUGCCCUGGAAGGGUUUUCCAGCUGUGGGGAGCUGGGAUAGGGAAGUGGAUGGAGCAGGGUUGUUCUGCUGCUGGAUGCUCCUGGAGCUGCUCAGGGCAGCUUUUCCCCCUGGAAGGCCUUUCCUGGGAAAUCAAUGCGUGUGUUUGACUUUCCUGGGCUGGGAGGGGCUCCCCGGAUCUGCCGAAUCCAUCCUUUGUUGCACUGACACAACAUCCAGCAGUGCUUGUGCCAUUGUUGGAUAAAAUUCCAUCAUCGCAGCCUGGGACCAGCGCUGCAGAGUGGAGCUUUUGGGAAGUGGCAAAACCUGGCUCUAAAUUUAGCCCCUGCAGCCGUGGGGUGCAGCCGGGAAGGCCGGACCUGCCGGAUGGCACAAAUCCACGGAAUCAAAGGCUCCGGCCUCGCCUUGCAGCUCCAGUGCUGCAUAAUUAUGGGGGGAGCGAGACUGGGGCCGUGUUAGUAUUCAUGGAAUCGCUGCCGAGCCCGCCAGCCAGGAGUUUGAUGUUUAAUAAGGAGAAUUCCAGCGUUCCCGGAGCGUGGGGUGAGCAGAGCCCCGGCUUUGAAUCCAGGGCUUGUUCCCUGUGGGGUGCAGGUUAGGGGUCUCUUUUGUUGCUGGCUGAGUGGGUGCUUGGGAUCCAUUCCAGCUCUGCCUUGGAGCAGGGAUAUCGGCAGCACAGCUCCCAGAAGAGCUUUUGGGAUCUCAAAUCCCAAUUCCAAACCAAAAGGGUUUUUCCCACCCCCCAAGGCGCUCCUAGAAAUAGCCCGGGAAUGCUUGACGUGCCAGGAUAUUUCCUUUCGGAGAGUGCCUCUGAAAAAGCGCGUUUGUGUGCUCCGAGAGUGCUCUGCAGCGUGGCCCUGCCGGGCAUCGGGAUGGCCGGCUUUUGUGGGAUGGAUUAUCCCUGCUAAUGCGGGCUCCAUUGUCUGCCCGGCUCGGGAAAAGCUGGGAAGGGCAGCGAGCUCCCCAGGGCACGGCGAGAGAGCAGGGACAGGGUGGAAAAGGGGCAAGGGGAAAGCGGGACGGAGGAAUUCCCAUCUGGAGUGGCAAAUCCGGCUGGGUGAGGAUGUUGGUGGUCCCGCAAGGCCGUGCCCUUCCUCGGAGAGGAGCUCGGAAGGGCUGGGGAGGCAGAGAACA